rnacentral:rRNA from 1 species
AUUGAACGCUGGCGGAAUGCUUUACACAUGCAAGUCGAACGGCAGCACGGACUUCGGUCUGGUGGCGAGUGGCGAACGGGUGAGUAAUAUAUCGGAACGUGCCCAGUCGUGGGGGAUAACGUAGUGAAAAUUACGCUAAUACCGCAUACGAUCUAUGGAUGAAAGCGGGGGACCUUUGGGCCUCGCGCGAUUGGAGCGGCCGAUAUCAGAUUAGGUAGUUGGUGGGGUAAAGGCUCACCAAGCCAACGAUCUGUAGCUGGUCUGAGAGGACGACCAGCCACACUGGGACUGAGACACGCCCCAGACUCCUACGGGAGGCAGCAGUGGGGAAUUUUGGACAAUGGACGCAAGUCUGAUCCAGCCAUUCCGCGUGCAGGAUGAAGGCCUUCGGGUUGUAAACUGCUUUUGUACAGAACGAAAAGGUUUCUACUAAUACUAGGAGCUCAUGACGGUACUGUAAGAAUAAGCACCGGCUAACUACGUGCCAGCCGCCGCCGUAA